UCUUAUAUACAUGCCUAUAACAUUAAUGCACUAGAUCCCAUCAGAACUCUGCAGUUAAGCACGCUUGGGCUAGAGUAGUACUAAGAUGGGUGACCUCCUAGGAAGUCCUAGUGUUUUACAUGCC
rnacentral:rRNA from 1 species